rnacentral:rRNA from 1 species
AGUGAACGCUGGCGGUAGGCCUAACACAUGCAAGUCGAACGGCAGCACAGUAAGAGCUUGCUCUUACGGGUGGCGAGUGGCGGACGGGUGAGGAAUACAUCGGAAUCUACUUUUUCGUGGGGGAUAACGUAGGGAAACUUACGCUAAUACCGCAUACGACCUACGGGUGAAAGCAGGGGAUCUUCGGACCUUGCGCGAUUGAAUGAGCCGAUGUCGGAUUAGCUAGUUGGCGGGGUAAAGGCCCGCCAAGGCGACGAUCCGUAGCUGGUCUGAGAGGAUGAUCAGCCACACUGGAACUGAGACACGGUCCAGACUCCUACGGGAGGCAGCAGUGGGGAAUAUUGGACAACGGGCGCAAGCCUGAUCCAGCCAUACCGCGUGGGUGAAGAAGGCCUUCGGGUUGUAAAGCCCUUUUGUUGGGAAAGAAAAGCAGCAGGUUAAUACCCCGCUGUUCUGACGGUACCCAAAGAAUAAGCACCGGCUAACUUCGUG